rnacentral:tRNA from 1 species
GAUGGUACAGCUUAGUGGUAGAGCAUGUGCUUAGCAUGCACUAGGUCCUGGGUUCAAUCCUUGAUACCUCCA